rnacentral:other from 3 species
AUUGCCCUGCGGUGUACGUGAUGCCCAUUGUGUUUUGUUCCAACACUUUUUUAAACGGGAGUUCGGCGUCUCUACCGUAGUAAUGCCUGCCUGCUAGUUCAGGACGCAUGAUGCGGAUGAGCAGGACACCCACCUGCGAGAGCAGGAUCAAAACCUCGGGUGACACGGCAGUUGCGGGGCGGAU